AUCUGGGAAUUUUUUUUUUUUAAUUCACAACUAUAUUUAAUAAAUAUUUUAAAUUAAAAUCAGUAAAUUGCUAUGAUGAGGUUAAAAGAAAUAAGAGACACGAUUUGAAUUGUACUGUUAUCGAAUAAUUUAUCAAGUUAGCAUGUUAAAGUUUCCACGACAAGUACCCAAAAGUCUGACUACGUGCUAUUAAAGCUAGCUAAUCAUAUAAAUUAAAAUCAGCCAAAACUCAUAGUCAUUUCACAAGUUUCUCU